CAAAAGAUAAAAACAAAAAUAAAAACUGUAGCUUUUAUUUCAAGUAGCCAUAUAACUAGAUACAAAUCAAGAGCUGUGUUGUUAUAGAAUUUAUUGGAGUACAGCCCGUGUCUGCACUGUACACUCCUCUUCCCACAUAAACAGUACACCUCCUAGAAUACUGAAAAUAAAAAAAAUAAACAAAUAUGACCUAAUUAAACUUAAAAGUUUUUUGCACAGUAAAGGAAACCAUAAAAGCAAACAAACAAACAAACAAAAAAUGAAAAGAAAGCCACAGAAUGGGAGAAAAUAUUUGCAAAUGAAGUGAUUGACAAGGGAUUAAUCUCCCAAAUACACCAAAGACUCAUGCAGCUCAAUGUCGAACAAACAAACAAGCCAAUCAAAAAAUAGGCAGAAGAUCUAAAUAGACAUUUCACCAAAGAAGACAUACAGAUGGCCAAAAAAACACAUGAAAAGAUGCUCAACAUCAUUAGUUAUUAGAGAAAUACAAAUCAAAACUACUCUGAGGUACCACCUUACACCAGCCAGACUGGCCAUCAUCAAAAAGUCUAUAAAUAAUAAAUGCUGGAGAGGGUAUGGAGAUAAGGGAACCCGCUUAUGCUGUUGGUGGGAAUAUAAACUGGUGCAACCACUGUGGAAAACAGUAUGGAGUUUCCUCAAAACAACUAAAACUAGAACCACCAUAUGAUCCAGCAAUCCCACAACUGGGCAUCUAUCUGUAGAAAACCGUAAUUUGAAAAGAUACAUACUCUGCAAUGUUCGCUGCAGCAUUAUUUACAAUAGCCAUCAACAGAGGGAUGGAUUAGAAGAAGUGGUACAUCAACACUAUGAAAUAGUACUCAGCCAUUGAGAAAGAUGAAAGAGUGCCAUUUGCAGCAACAUGGAUGGACCUAGAGGUUAUCAUCCUGAUGAAGUUAGACAGUGAAAGACAAACGUCCUAUGAUAUCACUUGUCUGUAGAAUCUGAAAAAGGAUACAAAAGAACUUAUUUGCAGAACAGGAAGACUCACGGACUUUGAAAACACGCUUAUGAUUACCAAAGGGAAUGGUGGGGAGAGGGAUGGACGGGGGGUUUGGGAUCAGCACAUGCACCCUGAGGUGUGUGGAAUGACUGACCAACAGGGACCUGCUCUGUAGCACAGGGAACUCUCCCCGGUGUUCUGUGAUAAUCUAUGUGGGAAAAGAAUCUGAAAAAGAAUGAAUGUGUCUAUAUAUAUUAACUGAAUCACUUUGUUGCACAGCAGAAAUUAUCACAGCAUUGCAAUCAACUCUACUUCAAUAAAACUUUUUUAAAAAAUGAAAAAAAUUUUGCUCAAGGAUUAAUCAUGAUGUAAUUGAUGCUUUUGGUUUUAUACUGCCUUUUAUUGAAAAUGUGUGCUUCAUUUCUGAUUUUUCAUGGUUAUAUCAAUUAUCUUAAUUUGAACAUAGUGUUUAGUACACUUAAAAUAUUUUGAAUAAUUUUAUCUAUGGAAAAUUUUUAUCACAAUGAUAAUAAAUGUUUAACAUUUGUAUUAUAAAUUUUAUUUUUAUCUGAUCUUUUAUAUUUAUAAACUUGUAUUUUAAAUGUAUUAAAUAUAGUUUCACUGAUUUUUAAAUUUUCAAAUACAACGUUAGCAUUUAUACUUGUAUUUUAGUUUUAUAUGAAAUAAGACAUAGUGAAUUACCAGUGGUAUUAUCACUUUGCUCUAGAACCGAAAUCACUAACCCAUAACAGUGAAAGCAUAAGUUUCAUUGGGCCUCACCCCUUUCCCAUUUCUUCCUUCCUUCCUUCCUUCCUUUCUUCCUUCCUUCCUUCCUUCCUUCCUUNNNNNNNNNNNNNNNNNNNNNNNNNNNNNNNNNNNNNNNNNNNNNNNNNNNNNNNNNUUUUUUUUUUUUUUCUUUCUCUCUCUCUCUCUCUCUCUCUCUCUCUCUCUCUCUCUCUCUCUCUCUCUCUUUCUUUUUUGCUUUUUAGGGCCAUUUGUGUGGCAUAUACAAGUUCCCAGGCUAGGGAUCAAAUUGGAGCUGCUGCUGCCGGUUACAGCCACAGCCAGAGCCACAGCAACACAGGAUCCAAGCCGUGUCUGCCACCUACACCACAGCUCAUGGCAAUUCCGGAUCCUUUAGCUCACUAGGCAAGGCCGGGGAUCAAACCCGUGUCCUCAUGGAUCCUUGUCGGGUUUGUUACCACUGAGCCACGCCAGGAACUCCAUCCAGUCUUUUCCAUUUCUGAGAGGUGUACAUCAUGUCCUUCUGAGCUCUCAUUACUCACAGUGUACAGGUUGUGUCCUGGUGGGAUAGUAAAAUACUAGAAUUGGAAGUAGCAUCUAGACCCUGUCAUAGCUCAGAGAAAAGCGGAGGGUAACCGGUCAGAUUUCAGUAAUCAAGCUCCCUCUUGAAUUUUUACAGUAAGAGUUACAUCUGGGAUUCCUCCCCACUGAGUGCUUUAUUGAACCCGCCCAAAUCUGAUCUUAACUGCGAGCCAGCAAGAGCUUCGUGGAUGACUGAGUAUCCUGGGCAGUCACACAGGACCAGGACUCAGAAGGGUCCCUUGCCGGGCUUACUGGUCUGCUGUUGCCUUCUUGAAAUUUGGCUAGGGGUCCAGUUGGAGCUUUGGCUGCCAGUCUACACCACAGCCACAGCAACACCAGAUCUGAGCUGCAAUUUAUGGCAACCUCACCCCACCGAGAGAGGCCCGGAUUGAACCCACAGGACACUGUGUCAGGUUCUGAACCUGCUGAGCCACAAUGAUAACUUUUUGAAAUCCUUAAUAAGUUUUGAGCUCUGGAUUUUCAUUUUGCACUGGAAAUUAUGUAACCAGUUCUGUUGUAGCGGUUUGCUUUUAUUUUCAAAGGAAGAGGGAUAUAGGUAUUCUCUAAUGUAUGUCUGAUGUAUGACUUUUUUUUAAAUCUGAAGUUGGUGCUUCUUCUAUUUGGGUAUAUUUAGGCACCGAGGCAAAACGUCCCUCGUCAGAGUUGAAGUGGAACAAAGGUUUGAAGUGCUAAGCUGCUUUCCUUCUUCCCAUAACCACCUCUCUUCUCCUUAGGGUCCAUCAGCGCCGUUAAGCUCCUUCCUGACCUUCGUGUCUUCUCCCCGAUGUCCCGCCACGGGAAGUGCAGCGAGCCUGUAGCUUUUCAUCUAGAGGCCUCCUCCCAAGGGGUCCUUGCUUUCUCUUCCUCUACCACACACACCUGCCCUGCGCCACUGGACAGCAACCUCGACGAUAUUGUAGGAAUUCCUCGGAGGUCUUCUCAUCCUGGCCUCAACCACUCAGAGAGAGGGGUCUCCUUUGCGGAGAAAGUGCCCAAAGGAGAGCCCACCUGCUUCAGGACUUCCUUGAGCCUCACACAAGCAGCCCCUUUUCUUCUGUCUUACCAGUGAUGCCUUCUACGCCAAGCACGAGGGGAGAGAGAUGAAGGCCAGGACAGAGCAGCAUCCUGCUUUUUCAUGCCUGCAUUUUCAAGACGCAGCCUUUUAACCUGAAACAUCGGUUCUGCACCUUAAGAAGUCUUCAGGUAAACAAAUUCUGGUACUUUUCAAAAACUCUGCAUGCUUGGCUGUGCCGGCUUUGCCCUGUGUUCUUAUUCUUCACAUGAAAUACCCCUGGGCUUUGUAACAUUUGUUAUUUAGGAAGCAAGUCUAAAGAUUUUGUUACCUCUUGAGAGAGUGAAAUUAAACAACAACAUCAACAACUUUCACUUUGGAAGGACGAAAUUUGCAGGCUAGUCUCUAUAACCAUGAAGUUGCCAUGUCAGCAAAAGCCCUUUGUUCACCACAGGAAGCAAUCUGGUCAGAACAACUUCCUUUCUGGCAGUUCAAUAGAACUGUUGUUUCUGAAGCUUAUCAGAUAAACCCACUACCAGAAAUCCCCACUGGCAACAAAAUAGAAGUUUUGUUUGUUUGUUUGCUUGCUUUUUUAAAAUAGGGAACUAUAGUUCUCUCAAAGUGGCUACAUUUUAUUUUAUUUGUAUUUUCUUUGUUUAUUAAAUUAGCUUGCAUUGCUCCCUAAUUUUGAUGAUAGAAUUGAACGUGGAGAACGUUAAGUAGGUGAUGCGUUGAUUCACUGAAUUAAAACUGUAUUUGUGACUUGAAGUAACUUAGGAGAGAACGAUAAAGGACUAUUUAGAAGACAUUUGCGGCUUCCCAUCCUUCAUUUUCAGUAAGAAUAAUUGGCACGGUUAGCUAACUGUGAUGCAGUCCAUAGUCUCAGCCUUGUCUGCAGUCAGGAGUUUUUCACAUACAUAAAAUUUUUUUAAACUAUAAACUGUUUAAGUGCCUUCUUAUUUUUAAUUUAGGGAUCUUUAUCCUUUCUGUAUAACCUCUUGCUCCCUACUUCAUAUUAGAAAAAAAUUCUUCUACUCAGCAAUUAUAAGCUCCAAAAAGGCAAGGCAUGACCUUUUGGGCUAUUUAAGAAUAAUGACUUAAUCUCUCAU
rnacentral:lncRNA from 1 species